rnacentral:rRNA from 1 species
GACAGAGGGUGCAAACGUUGUUCGGAAUUACUGGGCGUAAAGCGAGUGUAGGCGGUCUUGUAAGUCGGAUGUGAAAGCCCUGGGCUCAACCCAGGAAGUGCACUCGAUACUGCGAGGCUAGAGUACUGGAGAGGUGGGUGGAAUUCUCGGUGUAGAGGUGAAAUUCGUAGAUAUCAAGAGGAACACCUGAGGUGAAGACGGGUUGCUGGGCCAACACUGACGCUGAGGCGCGAAAGCCAGGGGAGCAAACGGG